rnacentral:misc_RNA from 1 species
GAUGAAGAACGUAGCGAAAUGCGAUACGUAAUGUGAAUUGCAGAAUUCAGUGAAUCAUCGAAUCUUUGAACGCAUAUUGCGCUCUCUGGUAUUCCGGAGAGCAUGCUUGUUUGAGUAUCAGUAAACACCUCAACUCCCCUUUCUUUUUUUGAAAUGGGAGCUGGACUUGAGUGAUCCCAACGCUUUUCUCACCGAAAAGUGGCGGGUUACUUGAAAUGCAGGUGCAGCUGGACUUUUCUCUGAGCUAAAAGCAUAUCUAUUUAGUCUGCCUAAGAAACAGAUUAUUACCUUUGCUGCAGCUAACAUAAAGGAGAUUAGUUCUUGUGCUGACUGAUGCAGGAUUCACAGAGACAGCUUCGGCUGGCCUUUGUAAACUCGAUCUCAAAUCAAGUAAGACUACCCGCUGAACUUAAGCAUAUCAAUAAGCGGAGGA